UGUAAAAAUCUUCUUUUUAAUUAUGUUAUAUUCUUAAAAUCACUAAAAGAGAUAAAAAAGAGCUUAGUUGGAUUUUAUUUGAUCCAAAAAUAAUAUAUUUUAAAAACAUUCUUAAAAAUUUAUCAUAAUAGGGAUUAGCUUCACAGUCUGCUUAUCCAUAGAACUUCAAGGACAAAAACACAAUUUAUUUUCUACCUAAGACAUGAUACAUCAUAGAGAUAUAUGCCCACUCAGAAUACACAAGAUUAUCUUGGACCAACUUAACUUGACAUACUGGUUAACUUUAGAGCACCUUCACUUUACUUAAUGAUUCAUCAUAAAGGAUUUUCGUAUUGUUUGGUAUUAAGUCAUCUUUACCACUGGUUGAUGUUAGAGCACCUUUACCAGACACAUUAGUUACCGUCAUUUGUAUGAGAUAGUCCUAAAGCAUCAUUUUUAGAUAUAUGAUUUGACCCCUAGAGCACCUUCAUUGGACAUAUCUGUUAAUUCUAGAACACUUUCAUUUGACAUACUGGUUCAUCAUAUUGAUUGACCAAAGAGCACCUUCCCUAUCUACUGCUAACCCUAGAGCACUAACAGUAGAUGUUAGUAUUGAUUGGCCUUAGAACACAUUCAUUCUUUGAAUUUUUUCAUAUCAUGGUUCAUUUUUGACUAUUUUAAUUAUAGUGCUUUAUCUGCGAGUCAGAACCACUAUUUACGUAGUAACACAGUUUGAUCAGUUGAUUACAGCACUUUCUGAACAUCAUUGGAAUGUAAUCUAAAUGAAAGCCACAUAUGUAUCCCUCAAGGUCCACAAGACAAAUGCUAAGCAUUAUACAUUUGAAUAAAAAUGAUCUAUAUAUACAUAUAUAUAUAUGAUAAAAUAUUAAAGGUAUAGCAA